GAUGAACGCUGGCGGCGUGCCUAAUACAUGCAAGUCGAGCGAACGGACGAGAAGCUUGCUUUUCUGAUGUUAGCGGCGGACGGGUGAGUAACACGUGGAUAACCUACCUAUAAGACUGGGAUAACUUCGGGAAACCGGAGCUAAUAACGGCUAAUAUUUUGAACCGCAUGGUUCAAAAGUGAAAGACGGUCUUGCUGUCACUUAUAGAUGGAUCCGCGCUGCAUUAGCUAGUUGGUAAGGUAACGGCUUACCAAGGCAACGAUGCAUAGCCGACCUGAGAGGGUGAUCGGCCACACUGGAACUGAGACACGGUCCAGACUCCUACGGGAGGCAGCAGUAGGGAAUCUUCCGCAAUGGGCGAAAGCCUGACGGAGCAACGCCGCGUGAGUGAUGAAGGUCUUCGGAUCGUAAAACUCUGUUAUUAGGGAAGAACAUAUGUGUAAGUAACUGUGCACAUCUUGACGGUACCUAAUCAGAAAGCCACGGCUAACAACGUG
rnacentral:rRNA from 1 species